GUGCUUGCUUUGGCAGCACAUAUACUAAAACUGGAACAAUACAGAGAAGAUUAGCAUGGCCCCUGUGCGAGGAUGACCAGCAAAUUCAUGAAGCAUUUCAUAUUAGU